rnacentral:rRNA from 1 species
GACGAACCGUGCGAACGUUGUUCGGAAUCACUGGGCUUAAAGGGCGCGUAGGCGGACCGGCGAGUCAGGGGUGAAAGCCCGCGGCCCAACCGCGGAAGUGCCCCUGAUACCGCCGGGCCUUGAGGGGGAUAGGGGCGUGCGGAACUUCGGGUGGAGCGGUGAAAUGCGUGAGAUAUCCGAAGGAACACCGGUGGCGAAGGCGGCACGCUGGGUCCCUACUG